GAUGAACGCUGGCGGCGUGCUUAACACAUGCAAGUCGAACGGUGAAGCAGGAGCUUGCUCCUGUGGAUCAGUGGCGAACGGGUGAGUAACACGUGAGCAGUCUGCCCUGGACUCUGGGAUAAGCGUUGGAAACGACGUCUAAUACCGGAUACGAGGCGUGGGGGCAUCCCCAACGCCUGGAAAGAACUUCGGUCCAGGAUGAGCUCGCGGCCUAUCAGCUAGUUGGUGAGGUAACGGCUCACCAAGGCGACGACGGGUAGCCGGCCUGAGAGGGUGACCGGCCACACUGGGACUGAGACACGGCCCAGACUCCUACGGGAGGCAGCAGUGGGGAAUAUUGCACAAUGGGCGCAAGCCUGAUGCAGCAACGCCGCGUGAGGGACGACGGCCUUCGGGUUGUAAACCUCUUUUAGCAGGGAAGAAGCGAAAGUGACGGUACCUGCAGAAAAAGCACCGGCUAACUACGUGCCAGCCGCCGCGGUAAGAC
rnacentral:rRNA from 1 species